rnacentral:rRNA from 1 species
GGGGAAUAUUGGACAAUGGAGGAAAGUCUGAUCCGGCGCCGCGGGGUGGAGGAAGAGGUCCUUGGGGAUGUAAAUUAAGGAAGCAAACGAAAAGGACGGAGGGGGACCUUUCCGGGAGAAGGAAAUAAGUAAAAAGCCCCGGCAAACAACGUGCAGCAGCCGCGGUAAUACGUAGGGGGCGAGCGUUGCCCGGAAUUACUGGGCGUAAAGGGAACGUAGGUGGCUCUUAAAGUCAGGUGUGAAAAUAACGAAGCUUAACAGGUUAAUGCGCUUGAAACUAAAGGGCUUGAGGGCAAUAGAGGGAGAUGGAAUUACCUGUGUAGGGGUGAAAUCCGCAGAUAUAGGUAAGAAGGCCGGUGGGGAAGCCGAUCUCCUGGGUUGACUCUGACACUGAGGUUCGAAAGCUAGGGGAGCAAACC